rnacentral:rRNA from 1 species
GAUGAACGCUGGCGGCGUGCCUAAUACAUGCAAGUCGAGCGGACUUCUUGAGAGCUUGCUCUCAAGAAGUUAGCGGCGGACGGGUGAGUAACACGUGGGUAACCUGCCUAUAAGACUGGGAUAACUCCGGGAAACCGGGGCUAAUACCGGAUAACAUUUUGAACUGCAUGGUUCGAAAUUGAAAGGCGGCUUCGGCUGUCACUUAUAGAUGGACCCGCGGCGCAUUAGCUAGUUGGUGAGGUAACGGCUCACCAAGGCGACGAUGCGGAGCCGACCUGAGAGGGUGAUCGGCCACACUGGGACUGAGACACGGCCCAGACUCCUACGGGAGGCAGCAGUAGGGAAUCUUCCGCAAUGGACGAAAGUCUGACGGAGCAACGCCGCGUGAGCGAUGAAGGCCUUCGGGUCGUAAAGCUCUGUUGUUAGGGAAGAACAAGUACAAGUUGAAUAAGCUUGUACCUUGACGGUACCUAACCAGAAAGCCACGGCUAACUACGUGCCAGCAGCCGCCGUAACAC